rnacentral:rRNA from 1 species
AUUGAACGCUGGCGGAAGGCCUAAAAAAUGCAAGUCGAACGAGUGGCGGACGGGUGAGUAAUGUCUGGGAAACUGCCUGAUGGAGGGGGAUAACUACUGGAAACGGUAGCUAAUACCGCAUACCCUCAGAUGUGCCCAGAUGGGAUUAGCUUGUGGGUGGGGUAAAGGGGACCCAAGGCGACGAUCCCUAGCUGGUCAGAGAGGAUGACCAGCCACACUGGAACUUGGACACGGUCCAGACUCCUACGGGAGGCAGCAGUGGGGAAUAUUGAACAAUGGGCGCAAGCCUGAUGCAGCCAUGCCGAGUGUAUGAAGAAGGCCUUCGGGUUGUAAAGUACUUUCAGCGGGGAGGCGUUACCCGCAGAAGAAGCACCGGCUAACUCCGUGCCAGCAGCCGCGGUAAUUC